AGAGUUUGAUCCUGGCUCAGGACGAACGCUGGCGGCGUGCUUAACACAUGCAAGUCGAACGGUGACCCUGGAGCUUGCUCCAGGCGAUCAGUGGCGAACGGGUGAGUAACACGUGAGUAACCUGCCCUAGACUCUGGGAUAAGCCCGGGAAACUGGGUCUAAUACCGGAUACGAGACGAGAAGGCAUCUUCAUCGUCUGANANAGAAUUUCNGGUCUAGGANUGGACUCGCGGCNCUAUCAGCUUGGUUGGUGAGGUAAUGGCUCACCAGAGGCGACGAACGGGUAGCCCGGCCUGGAGAGGGCGACCGGCCACACGUGGAACUGAGGACACGGUCCAGACUCCUACGGGAGGCAGCAGUGGGGAAUAUUGCACAAUGGGCGCAAGCCUGAUGCCAGCGACGCCGCGUGGGGGAUGAAGGCCUUCGGGUUGUAACCCUUUUAGCAGGGAAGAAGGAAAGUGACGUACUGCAGAAAAAGGCCGGCNAAUACGUGCCAGCAGCCGCGGUAAUACGUAGGGCGCAAGCGUUGUCCGGAAUUAUUGGGCGUAAAGAGCUCGUAGGCGGUUUGUCGCGUCUGCUGUGAAAAUCCGAGGCUCAACCUCGGACUUGCAGUGGGUACGGGCAGACUAGAGUGUGGUAGGGGAGACUGGAAUUCCUGGUGUAGCGGUGGAAUGCGCAGAUAUCAGGAGGAACACCAAUGGCGANGGCAGGUCUCCGGGCCACAACUGACGCUGAGGAGCGAAAGCAUGGGGAGCGAACAGGAUUAGAUACCCUGGUAGUC
rnacentral:rRNA from 1 species